GCUGAGCCCAGAGAAAGAGCCGCCGGGCGCUACCUCGGCAAACCUCGCUGGGACCGCGGGGCCACCAGGAGGCACUUUGGUGGAGGGGGGAGGGGGGCGACCUCGGCAGCCGCGGCGCCCGAAGCGACCCAGCGCAGCGUGGGGCGGGCUGCGACCUCUGCCUCGGUGGAUUGCAUUUUUAAUUAAGGAUUCCUAGCAGCUCUUUGGGAUUUUUUUUUUUUUUUACGGCUUCCACUCAUGUAUUGACACCCGCGUUCAGGAGAGACUUGCUCCAAGUGCACCGAGCGCCCGGGACCUGGAGACGGAAUUGCUUUUCGGAUCUGGGAGUUAUCCACAAGCCUUAGUUUCGGAUCCUGCAGGGAAAGCCCAUGUAGCAUAGCGCUUGGCUUUUGAAGGCAGAGCUGUGCAGACACAUUUGGGGGUACGACGCAAGCGCUUUGUGUUGGUGUACCAGCCGCGCAACUUUUGAAGGCUCGCCGGCCCAUGCGGGGUGUCUCUAGCAUCGUUUCGCCGGUGGCUUCCCUAAAGUUCCAGGGCAGCUGGAGUUGAGCAGUCCCGGCCCCAUCGCGAUCCAUGUAGCCCGCUGGUCCCUCGCGGACUGCCGCUCAGCGCGCGCGUGUGCCCGGCCAGGCGCGAGCUCCCUCAUGUUGCAGCCCUGCGGUGCCCCUUCGACGACAGGCUGUGCGCAGUCUGCACGGCGCCCCGCGGCAGAGCUUCAUGUGGGGCUGCGGCCCGCGCAACCCGCGCCUCGUUGAGGGAACGGACCCCCGGUAACCGGAGACCGCCUCCCCUCCCACCACCCCAGGCGCCAAAGGGUAUCGUAUGUUCAGGUCUAAACGCUCGGGGCUGGUGCGGCGACUUUGGCGAAGUCGUGUGGUCCCUGAUCGGGAGGAAGGCAGCGGCGGCGGCUGUGGUGGCGACGAGGAUGGGAGCCUGGGCAGCCGAGCUGAGCCUGCCCCGCGGGCACGAGAGGGCGGAGGUUGCGGCCGCUCCGAAGUCCGCUCGGUAGCCCCGCGGCGGCUCCGGGACGCGGUGGGACCGCGAGGCGCCCUGAUCGCGGGCAGGCGCCGGCGCACAGGGGGCCCCCCGAGGCCCGUGUCGGAGCCGGGGGCCGGAGCUGGGGGCUCCCCGCUGGAUGUGGUGGAGCCUGGAGGCCCGGGCUGGCUGCCUGAGAGUGACUGCGAGACGGUGACUUGCUGUCUCUUCUCCGAGCGGGACGCUGCAGGCGCGCCCCGGGACUCUGGCGAUCCCCAAGCCAGGCAGUCCCCGGAGCCGGAGGAGGGCGGCGGGCCUCGGAGUCGCGAAGCCCGCUCGCGGCUGCUGCUUCUGGAGCAGGAGCUCAAGACAGUCACGUACUCGCUGCUCAAGCGGCUCAAGGAGCGUUCGCUGGACACACUGUUGGAGGCUGUAGAGUCCCGAGGCGGCGUGCCGGGCGGCUGCGUGCUGGU
rnacentral:lncRNA from 1 species